GAGUUUGAUCCUGGCUCAGGACGAACGCUGGCGGCGUGCUUAACACAUGCAAGUCGAACGAAAAGAGGGAAAGAGCUUGCUCUUUCCGGAAUUGAGUGGCAAACGGGUGAGUAACACGUAAACAACCUGCCUUCAGGAUGGGGACAACAGACGGAAACGACUGCUAAUACCGAAUAAGUUCCAAGGGCCGCAUGGCCCAUGGAAGAAAAGGUGGCCUCUACCUGUAAGCUAUCGCCUGAAGAGGGGUUUGCGUCUGAUUAGCUGGUUGGAGGGGUAACGGCCCACCAAGGCGACGAUCAGUAGCCGGUCUGAGAGGAUGAACGGCCACGCUGGAACUGAGACACGGUCCAGACUCCUACGGGAGGCAGCAGUGGGGAAUCUUCCGCAAUGGGCGAAAGCCUGACGGAGCAACGCCGCGUGAGUGACGACGGCCUUCGGGUUGUAAAACUCUGUGAUCCGGGACGAGAAGGCAGGGUGCGAAGAACAAACUGCAUUGACG
rnacentral:rRNA from 1 species